CUUAAGUGGGGAAUAACGCAUCGAAAGAUGUGCUAAUACCGCAUAAUCUCUAAGGAGAAAAGCAGGGGAUCGUAAGACCUUGUGCUUUUGGAGUGGCCGAUGCCUGAUUAGCUAGUUGGUAGGGUAAAGGCCUACCAAGGCGACGAUCAGUAGUUGGUCUGAGAGGACGACCAGCCACACUGGGACUGAGACACGGCCCAGACUCCUACGGGAGGCAGCAGUGGGGAAUUUUGGACAAUGGGCGAAAGCCUGAUCCAGCAAUGCCGCGUGAGUGAAGAAGGCCUUCGGGUUGUAAAGCUCUUUCAGUCGAGAAGAAAAGGUUGCGACGAAUAAUCGUAACUCAUGACGGUAUCGACAGAAGAAGUACCGGCUAACUACGUGCCAGCAGCCGCGGUAAUACGUAGGGUGCGAGCGUUAAUCGGAAUUACUGGGCGUAAAGGGUGCGCAGGCGGCUUUGUAAGUCAGAUGUGAAAUCCCCGGGCUUAACCUGGGAAUUGCGUUUGAAACUACAAAGCUAG
rnacentral:rRNA from 1 species